UUUUUUUAAAAAAAGUCGGAAAUGGUCCUGCACCUGGUGGGAAUGAGAGAAAAUAUCUCUCGCUGGAUGGGAAUGGAGAGUCGCUAUCCUGCCCAACCCUGUUGCCAACCCUAGAAGCCACACCAAACAAGUCUGUUUUAUAAAAAAAAUAUAUGAAAUUUUUUUAAACCUACGAUUCUGUUGGAGGAAAAGGAGAGAAGAGAAAGGGAAAUGAACAGAGAAAGAAGGAAGGGAGAUGACAAGGUGAAGUGGUCGUCAGAAAUGUCGUGGUCGUGCCGGAAGGUGCUGGAAAAGCGAAGAUUACUUCCAAAAGAAGGGAUUGGAGAGAUCGAUAGGCGAAUGGAAGAUCAGAAUGACGAAUUAUGACUCGAGAUUCUUGCAAAAAGUAGACUUCAUACUGGUUUAUUUUUACUAAAUACUUUUGUUACUUUAUUUAGCACGUAUUAUGAAGUUUCAAGAAAGCUACUUAUGUACAAUUAUGUAUGAUUUUUGUGAAGCUAUGAAGUUCUAUAAACUAGCUAUGGAGUUUGAAAAAUAUCAUGAUUUUAGUAUAAAUUGUGGUUUCGGAAUUUUUUGACA